GAUGAACGCUGGCGGCGUGCCUAAUACAUGCAAGUCGAGCGAACAGAUGAGGAGCUUGCUCCUCUGACGUUAGCGGCGGACGGGUGAGUAACACGUGGAUAACCUACCUAUAAGACUGGGAUAACUUCGGGAAACCGGAGCUAAUACCGGAUAAUAUAUUGAACCGCAUGGUUCAAUAGUGAAAGACGGUUUUGCUGUCACUUAUAGAUGGAUCCGCGCCGCAUUAGCUAGUUGGUAAGGUAACGGCUUACCAAGGCAACGAUGCGUAGCCGACCUGAGAGGGUGGUCGGCCACACUGGAAGGGAGACAGGGUCCGGACUCCUACGGGAGGCAGCAGUAGGGAAUGUUCCGCAGUGGGCGAAAGCAUGACGGAGCAACGCCGCGUGAGUGAUGAAGGUCUUCGGAUCGUAAAACUCUGUUAUUAGGGAAGAACAAAUGUGUAAGUAACUAUGCACGUCUUGACGGUACCUAAUCAGAAAGCCACGGCUAACUACGUG
rnacentral:rRNA from 1 species